GACGGGGGGGGCAAGCGUUGUUCGGGAUUACUGGGCGUAAAGGGCUCGUAGGUGGCCAACUAAGUCAGACGUGAAAUCCCUCGGCUUAACCGGGGAACUGCGUCUGAUACUGGAUGGCUUGAGUUCGGGAGAGGGAUGCGGAAUUCCAGGUGUAGCGGUGAAAUGCGUAGAUAUCUGGAGGAACACCGGUGGCGAAGGCGGCAUCCUGGACCGGCACUGACACUGAGGAGCGAAAGCCAGGGGAGCAAACGGG
rnacentral:rRNA from 1 species